rnacentral:misc_RNA from 1 species
AAAGAAGCAAUAAAACAAUGGGACGAAGAAGAACACAAAUGAGCAUAAUAAACAAAAGAGGAGAUAGGACAAGUGCAUUGACGUAUACAUUAAUGAAGAGCAAUAGGAAGGCCAAGACUGGGAUAAGGUGAACAAGUAGGUAGAGGAUAUGAGUCACAAGUCUUCAAUCUUCGAUAAUAUACAUGAACACUGGGAGGUCGAGUGGAUGUAGGAUGAUUUGGUGAUUGAUAGUUUGAGUGACAGUAUAGAACGAGAGAUUAUCUUCCUCCCUUGACUAUCAUAAAUAGGAGAGGAAGGAAAGGAAGGAUUAGACUCAAUAAAUGUGACAUCUAUAAAGACAAGAUAAUGAUUAAAAGUAGUAGGAUAGCACUUGUAACCUUUCUAAAGAUGAGAGUAACCAAGAAAGACACACUUAAGAGAUU